rnacentral:rRNA from 1 species
UAGGGAAUCUUCGGCAAUGGGGGCAACCCUGACCGAGCAACGCCGCGUGAGUGAAGAAGGUUUUCGGAUCGUAAAGCUCUGUUGUAAGAGAAGAACGUGUGUGGGAGUGGAAAGUUCACACAGUGACGGUAACUUACCAGAAAGGGACGGCUAACUACGUGCCAGCAGCCGCGGUAAUACGUAGGUCCCGAGCGUUGUCCUGAUUUGUUGGGCGUAAAGCGAGCGCAGGCGGUUUAAUAAGUCUGAAGUUAAAGGCAGUGGCUUAACCAUUGUUCGCUUUGGAAACUGUUAAACUUGAGUGCAGAAGGGGAGAGUGGAAUUCCAUGUGUAGCGGUGAAAUGCGUAGAUAUAUGGAGGAACACCGGUGGCGAAAGCGGCUCUCUGGUCUGUAACUGACGCUGAGGCUCGAAAGCGUGGGGAGCAAACAGG